GGAAAAGAAGAGAGAAAGAAGCAAGGAAAUGAGGGAGAGAAAAUGAGGUGGAGAGGCGAGGGAUGAUGCUUGAGGCAACUGGGCAUUUUGGGUUGAGCUGAAAUUUUUGGGAAAAUGCAAGAGACCGAGAUAGUAAUGAUCAACGACAUGAAUCAAGGAGCCCUUCUCUUGCGCACGGCAGUGUUUUGGUCCCCAGAAACGGCUCUCCUCCUUUCUUAAUGCUGGGAUUGAUUACCAUGGGGAAGGAUACUACAAGCAGUUCAUGGUAAAGUUUAAAUUCAUGUGCACCAGGUCAUCCUGCGCGCACAAAACAUAAGAAUACAGAGGGCACAAUCAGUGAAGGCCCUGCUGCUGAAGAUAUUGCUUCUUCUGCCAACAGAUCCUUCAAGAAGACAACUCCUAGCACGAAAAAGGUUGCAGAACAGAAGGAUAUCAUAGACGUGGCACAACUCACGCUGAGUCCGCCUGGAGGAAGCCAAGGAUACGUCUAUUGCCAAACUAAAACAAGUUUGAAUAUUGGAACAACUACGAGAACCUCCACCGUGAGGUUAAAUGAAGCUGUUUGGAUGCCGUCUACUGGUCUUUGUUGUCAUCUUUCCCAAUAAGCAAAUGAGUAAUUGGUGGCAAAGUCCAAGUACUUGAAGAGGCAGAGAUGAUUGAUCUCUUUUCACUAACUUAUUUUGAUUUAUUGGAUUCAUAUAGCUGCUAACUAGGUUAUAAAGGUCCUUCUUUUUGUCUUAUUGUGUAUGUGUGUAUAUACAUGUUGAGUUUUUGAGGGAUGAGUCAAAAGUAAAUGUGAUGAGUGAAGAUAAUGUACAGACUUACAUUUUGCUUAUAAAU